GGGGGAGAAGGUUGAGAGAAAUGCCGAAGAGACAAUAAACUGAAAAGUACCUCACAACUCGAAACAGCUUGACCUGAAUACCUCAAAUUGCAUAAUGACAACCAUAAGGCUGAAAGCUGUCUGGAUUCCAGAAGUUUGGAGCUCCUUUCCUACCCUGGAUAAUGUUCUUACUGAUGACCUCACCAAAGGUGAAGCAACAGGAGGUAGAAGAUUGGUCCAGUGGAGGGGAAACAGCUGACAAUCAACACUCAGAGGAAAUCUAGCUACACAGAAACCUGGCCCUUAAUGGAGGAGAGUGCACUCUAGUUGGACCAAUUCUGCCCUUAGGAUGACAAUAGAUGUAGCACAUCAGCCGCCUUGGUUCCAUUUCCUGCACCUGUUGAACACCACAGUAAGACACAGUGAUGCCACCAAUAUUUAGUGUGAUUUUUGAAAACCUGAAAAUAUGUCAUAUACUGCUUUGAUUGGGCCUAUUUCACAAAACAAAGAUUAAGUCUGGAUUUUCUGGAUAUCCUGGCUUAAUGAAGCCUCAAGUUUUAUGAAAGCAUUAAAACAUCAGUUUCCAUGGUGAUUUAUUUUGUUCAGCUACCCCGUUCCCUACCAGGCUAACAACAAGCAUGCUGGAGCCUGGUCCCUAAUCUGUUUAGUGAUUCUGUUACCUCAUCUGCAUGUUUUUUAUUAUUAUUAUUUUUAUCAGCCUGCAGACAUGCUGCUUUUCACCCUAAUUGUGAUACAAACUGUAAAGCUAUAACCUAUAAGACAAAAUCCAAAACAAGUUGCUUCUCAUUUCUAAC